CUCUGUGUGAAAGAGAGAGACAAUCCAGGAAUGAAGGAUGGGUUUGCAAAUCACAUUUAUAAUAAUAAUAAUAAUAAUCAGACAUUUUAUUUGAAGGUGCCUUUCAAGUCACUCCAGGUCAUGAACAAGAAACACAAAACAGCAAAAGAAAAAACUAUAAAACAAUAAUUUAAUUCAGUUUAUUUAUUUAGCGCCAAUCAUAGCAAAUGUUGUGUCAAGGGGCUUUACAAAAAUAUAAUCGAAUUGAAUUUCAGUUCAAUCACACAUUCAUUUAAAUUGAUCCUAAUGAUCAAACAGUGCAGGAUGUUCCACUGUGUAGUUUUCAAAUCUAACUUGAAAUAUUGCUAACUGCUUAGAUAAGUGUGAUACAUUAACUGUAGGCGCGUGUGUGUGUGUGUGUAUGUGCCAGUAGUUCAGUCUGUAUGUGUGUGUUUGUGUAUUGUGAUUAGAAAGCAAAACGUAGAGUUACAUUUUCUGUUUUAAAAUGUUGAGUCCUGCUGAGGUGAAUCAACUUAUGCUAUAACCUGGUGCAGCUCAUCAAAUGGUGUCAUUUAUGAUCAAGCUAUACAUGGUCCCUUUGUAAAUAAAGUUUAUCACUGUUUAAUAAUCAAAGUACAUUAAGAUGUUUCUGCACCAUUUCAUAAAAAGGCAGAUAUCAAUCAAAUUUAACACAAUUAAUGAUUCAACAGAAAAAAUGUAAACAAAAUAAACAAGUCAGAGAAAGUGAGUUUUGAUGUUAGAGUCAACUUACCUCGUCACAAAGGCCCUCACAUAAAGUCGCUCCACUGGGUGUUCAGUCCCAGCUUGUCAUGGUGCUGUUGUUUAUUUCAUGGUGGUUCUGUUGACAGCAGUCGGUCCAACAACAUGUUGCUGGAGGUUCUGCCCUCCACUCUAAGUUUAAACCCUAAUGAGGUUAUUUCUUUUGACAGAGGAAGUGGGAGCAGAUAUGACGAGUCCCGGCUAACGUCUCCCGCUGUCAGCUGUAAUUGUUUAUGAAACGACCUUAAUUAGCUCAGUGAUUUAUGCGACUUGCGUCAGUGACCGUAAUGUUUGACAGCUCAUCCCUGUUAUUCAUAAGAAGCCUGUUGAAAAGAGAAAAUCCGGCCACAUGAAGACGCUCUCUCACUAUUUGAACACUGAAUGUUCAGUCACUUUUCAGCUAGGAGUUUACAACCCUGCUUCCAAAACUAUUCACACCCCUAAAACAUUUUGUGUUUUGUUACAUUACAACCAUACACUGAAAGUGGCAGUGUUAUGUAAAACUGACGUUUUGGGCUGCACACCAUGUUUAAUGUUAGUCCCUCAUCAAAAACAUAUCUGGGGUGUUGCCUUGAUUCUUUCAUGCAUGUUUGAGAAAUCUUUUAAUCUCCAUGGCAACCAUUCAGCUGUGCAAAAUGCCUGGGUAGACCUAACCUUGCCUUUGAGGACAAAGCUUCACUCAGCUCCUUCAGACUAGUGAACAGCAAUUAGCAAACAUGAGGUGGAACUGCACAUCAGCUCCUAUAAGGGGCUCCUUAUAGGAGCUAGGUCUCAGUGAAAUGCUGGUGAAACGUUGUGAAAGUGUUAAUAGAGGAGCCAUGUUGUAAUGACUUCCUGAAGGCGGAGAUUCAGAAAGAGCAGGAAUUUCUUAAAGAGACAGAGGCCCAAUUUCAAGGAGUUCAAUUACAAAGUAAGUUAUGAGUGCUAUAGUUACAUCAACUUAAGGUAGCACAAAACCUGAUUUUGCAACAAAACGGAAGAAAAA